rnacentral:rRNA from 1 species
AUUGAACGCUGGCGGCAGGCUUAACACAUGCAAGUCGAACGGUAACAUGAAGAAGCUUGCUUCUUUGAUGACGAGUGGCGGACGGGUGAGUAAUGCUUGGGAAUCUAGCUUAUGGAGGGGGAUAACUACGGGAAACUGUAGCUAAUACCGCGUAGAAUCGAGAGAUGAAAGUGUGGGACCUUCGGGCCACAUGCCAUAGGAUGAGCCCAAGUGGGAUUAGGUAGUUGGUGAGGUAAAGGCUCACCAAGCCGACGAUCUCUAGCUGGUCUGAGAGGAUGACCAGCCACACUGGGACUGAGACACGGCCCAGACUCCUACGGGAGGCAGCAGUGGGGAAUAUUGCGCAAUGGGGGCAACCCUGACGCAGCCAUGCCGCGUGAAUGAAGAAGGCCUUCGGGUUGUAAAGUUCUUUUCGGUAGCGAGGAAAGGCAUUUAGUUAAAUAGAC